GUGGGGAAUAUUGCACAAUGGGCGAAAGCCUGAUGCAGCGACGCCGCGUGAGCGAUGAAGUAUUUCGGUACGUAAAGCUCUAUCAGCAGGGAAGAUAAUGACGGUACCUGACUAAGAAGCACCGGCUAAAUACGUGCCAGCAGCCGCGGUAAUACGUAUGGUGCAAGCGUUAUCCGGAUUUACUGGGUGUAAAGGGAGCGUAGGCGGCGUGGUAAGUCAGAAGUGAAAGCCCGGGGCUCAACCCCGGGACUGCUUUUGAAACUAUCAUGCUAGAGUGUCGGAGAGGUAAGUGGAAUUCCUAGUGUAGCGGUGAAAUGCGUAGAUAUUAGGAGGAACACCAGUGGCGAAGGCGGCUUACUGGACGAUAACUGACGCUGAGGCUCGAAAGCGUGGGGAGCAAACAGGAUUAGAUACCCGGGUAGUCC
rnacentral:rRNA from 1 species